rnacentral:rRNA from 1 species
GUAACGCGUAGGAAUAUACCUUAAAGAGGGGGACAACUUGGGGAAACUCAAGCUAAUACCGCAUAAUGUCUACGGACAAAAGCUGGGGACUUUCGGGCCUGGCGCUUUAAGAUUAGCCUGCGUACGAUUAGCUAGUUGGUGGGGUAAGGGCCUACCAAGGCGACGAUCGUUAGCUGGUCUGAGAGGAUGACCAGCCACACUGGAACUGAGACACGGUCCAGACUCCUACGGGAGGCAGCAGUGGGGAAUAUUGGACAAUGGGGGCAACCCUGAUCCAGCAAUGCCGCGUGUGUGAAGAAGGCCUGAGGGUUGUAAAGCACUUUCAGUGGGGAGGAGGAUUAAUGGGUUAAGAGCUAAUUAAUUGGACGUUACCCACAGAAGAAGCACCGGCUAACUCCGUGCCAGCAGCCGCGGUAAUACGGAGGGUGCAAGCGUUAAUCGGAAUUACUGGGCGUAAAGAGUGCGUAGGUGGUUAUGUAAGUUAUCUGUGAAAUCCCUGGGCUCAACCUGGGCAGGUCAGAUAAAACUGCAGGACUCGAGUAUGGGAGAGGGUAGUGGAAUUUCCGGUGUAGCGGUGAAAUGCGUAGAGAUCGGAAGGAACACCAGUGGCGAAGGCGGCUACCUGGCCUAAUACUGACACUGAGGCA